GCAUCUGUAGCUCAGUUGGUAGAGCAAGUGACUCUUAAUCACUGGGUCCUAGGUUCGAGCCCUAGCAGAUGCA
rnacentral:tRNA from 1 species